rnacentral:rRNA from 1 species
AUUGAACGCUGGCGGCAGGCCUAACACAUGCAAGUCGAGCGGAUGAGGGGAGCUUGCUCUCCGAUUCAGCGGCGGACGGGUGAGUAAUGCCUAGGAAUCUGCCUGGUAGUGGGGGACAACGUUUCGAAAGGAACGCUAAUACCGCAUACGUCCUACGGGAGAAAGUGGGGGAUCUUCGGACCUCACGCUAUCAGAUGAGCCUAGGUACGAUUAGCUAGUUGGUGAGGUAAAGGCUCACCAAGGCGACGAUCGUUAACUGGUCUGAGAGGAUGAUCAGUCACACUGGAACUGAGACACGGUCCAGACUCCUACGGGAGGCAGCAGUGGGGAAUAUUGGACAAUGGGCGAAAGCCUGAUCCAGCCAUGCCGCGUGUGUGAAGAAGGUCUUCGGAUUGUAAAGCACUUUAAGUUGGGAGGAAGGGCAGUAAGUUAAUACCUUGCUGUUUUGACGUUACCAGCAGAAUAAGCACCGGCUAACUUCGUGCCAGCCGCCGCCGUAAGAC